UAGUCCACGCCGUAAACGAUGUCAACUAGCUGUUAAAAGAAUUAGAUUUAGUGGCGUAGCUAACGCGUUAAGUUGACCGCCUGGGAAGUACGGCCGCAAGGUUAAAACUCAAAUGAAUUGACGGGGACCCGCACAAGCGGUGGAGCAUGUGGUUUAAUUCGAUGCAACGCGAAGAACCUUACCUACCCUUGACAUCUUCGGAAGGUUUUGUAAUGAAACUGUGCCUUCGGGAACCGAAUGACAGGUGUUGCAUGGCUGUCGUCAGCUCGUGUUGUGAAAUGUUGGGUUAAGUCCCGUAACGAGCGCAACCCUCAUCCUUAUUUGCUAACAUUCAGUUGAGAACUUUAAGGAGACUGCCGGUGAUAAACUGGAGGAAGGAGAGGACGACGUCAAGUCAUCAUGGCCCUUACGGGUAGGGCUACACACGUGCUACAAUGGUUGGUACAAAGGGUUGCCAAAGCGCAAGCUGGAGCUAAUCUCAUAAAGCCAAUCGUAGUCCGGAUUAGAGUCUGCAACUCGACUCUA
rnacentral:rRNA from 1 species